rnacentral:rRNA from 1 species
CGAGCGUUGAAAAGCUCGGGGAUGACUUGUGGGUAGCGGUGAAAUUCCAAUCGAGCCCGGAGAUAGCUGGUUCUCCCCGAAAUAGCUUUAGGGCUAGCCUCAAGGGGAGAGAUACGGAGGUAGAGCACUGAAUGUCCUAGGGGGUAUUGCACCUACCGAAGACUAUCAAACUCCGAAUGCCGUCAUCUUAUACUUGGGAGUCAGACUGUGGGUGAUAAGAUUCAUAGUCGAAAGGGCAACAGCCCAGAUCGUCAGCUAAGGUCCCUAAAUGUAAGUUAAGUGGUAAAGGAUGUGGGAUUGCACAGACA